GCGGGUUUUUAUUGAGUUCUUUAAUGAUGGUGAGAUAGAUGAAACGCCAGGAACACUUGCAGCUACUUUUAUCACAUUUGUUUUGAACUUAGCAUUUGCGCUGAGUAUUAUGGGCUUUCUGAUUAUGCACAUAGCAUUGGUUGGAGCCAAUACCACCACUAUUGAGGCAUAUGAAAAGAAAACCAGUCCUAACUGGAGUUACGA